rnacentral:rRNA from 1 species
GACGAACGCUGGCGGCGUGCUUAACACAUGCAAGUCGAACGAAAAGAGGGAAAGAGCUUGCUCUUUCCGGAAUUGAGUGGCAAACGGGUGAGUAACACGUAAACAACCUGCCUUCAGGAUGGGGACAACAGACGGAAACGACUGCUAAUACCGAAUAAGUUCCAAGAGCCGCAUGGCCCAUGGAAGAAAAGGUGGCCUCUACCUGUAAGCUAUCGCCUGAAGAGGGGUUUGCGUCUGAUUAGCUGGUUGGAGGGGUAACGGCCCACCAAGGCGACGAUCAGUAGCCGGUCUGAGAGGAUGAACGGCCACACUGGAACUGAGACACGGUCCAGACUCCCACGGGAGGCAGCAGUGGGGAAUCUUCCGCAAUGGGCGAAAGCCUGACGGAGCAACGCCGCGUGAGUGAUGACGGCCUUCGGGUUGUAAAACUCUGUGAUCCGGGACGAAAAGGCAGAGUGCGAAGAACAAACNGCAUGACG